rnacentral:tRNA from 1 species
GCGGACGUGGCGAAAUUUGGAAAACGCACCUGACUUCUAAUCAGGUGGUGAUUUCACCUUGUGGGUUCGAGUCCCACCGUCCGCA